CCUACGGGUGGCAGCAGUGGGGAAUAUUGCACAAUGGGGGAAACCCUGAUGCAGCAACGCCGCGUGAGUGAUGACGGCCUUCGGGUUGUCAAGCUCUGUCUUGCGGGACGAUAAUGAGGGUACCUGAGUAGGAAGCCGCGGCUACCUACGGGCCAGCCGCCGCGGUAAUACGUAGGUGGCGCGCGUUGUCCGGGUUUACUGGGGGUAAAGGGAGCGUAGGCGGGCGUUUAAGUGAGAUGGGAAAUACUCGGGCUCAACUUGGGAACUGCAUUUGAAACUGGAAGUCUAGAGUGCAGUAGAGGAGAAUGGAAUUCCUGGUGUAGCGGUGAAAUGCGUAGAGAUUAGGAAGAACACCAGUGGCGAAGGCGAGUCUCUGGACUGUAACUGACGCUGAGGCUCGAAAGCGUGGGGAGCAAACAGGAUUAGAUACCCGUGUAGUC
rnacentral:rRNA from 1 species